UGCAAGUCGAGCGGACAGAUGGGAGCUUGCUCCCUGAUGUUAGCGGCGGACGGGUGAGUAACACGUGGGUAACCUGCCUGUAAGACUGGGAUAACUCCGGGAAACCGGGGCUAAUACCGGAUGGUUGUCUGAACCGCAUGGUUCAGACAUAAAAGGUGGCUUCGGCUACCACUUACAGAUGGACCCGCGGCGCAUUAGCUAGUUGGUGAGGUAACGGCUCACCAAGGCGACGAUGCGUAGCCGACCUGAGAGGGUGAUCGGCCACACUGGGACUGAGACACGGCCCAGACUCCUACGGGAGGCAGCAGUAGGGAAUCUUCCGCAAUGGACGAAAGUCUGACGGAGCAACGCCGCGUGAGUGAUGAAGGUUUUCGGAUCGUAAAGCUCUGUUGUUAGGGAAGAACAAGUGCCGUUCAAAUAGGGCGGCACCUUGACGGUACCUAACCAGAAAGCCACGGCUAACUACGUGCCAGCAGCCGCGGUAAUACGUAGGUGGCAAGCGUUGUCCGGAAUUAUUGGGCGUAAAGGGCUCGCAGGCGGUUUCUUAAGUCUGAUGUGAAAGCCCCCGGCUCAACCGGUGAGCGUCAUUGGAAACUGGGGAACUUGAGUGCAGAACAGGAGAGUGUAAUUCCCCGUGUAUUGUCGAAUUGCGUACUUGAAGUGCAGAAACACCCGUGGCGUUGCAAC
rnacentral:rRNA from 1 species